AAUAAAUAUAUUAAUAUAUAGAAGAAAUUAAAUGAUAAAUCAUUAAAUUUAAAAGAUUUGGCAGUAUUUAAUAUUUAGAGGAACCUGUAUAGUAAUUGAUGAUCCACGAUAAGAAAUACUUAAUUUUAAAUUUAUGUAUUGCUGUUUUAAAUAUUUAAUUAAGUUAGAUAAUUAUAUAAUUUAUAAUAUUUUUAAUAAGAUAAAAUAAUUCAAGUCAAAAUAUAGUUUAAUUAAGAUUUAGUAUGGGUUACAAUUAAUUUAAUUAUUGGAUUGAAAAAUUUAAUUUUUUUAUGAAAUUGGAUUUAAAAGUAAAUUUAAUUAAUUAAUUAAAUUGAAUAAUAAAUUAAAUAUGU
rnacentral:rRNA from 1 species